GAGGUCCAGCGCGCAGGUCUCGGACGCGAAGGCGACGGCGCCGUUGGGGAGGCGGCCGAGCACCAGCGGGCGGAACCCGUGCGGGUCGCGCACGGCGAACAGCUUGUCGGCCGUGAGGAAGAGCAGCGAGUAGGCCCCCGCGAGGCGCUCGCAGGCGUCGCAGAUGCGCGCCAGCAGCGGUCGCGAGAGCGACGUGGAGAUGAGGUGGAGGAUGACCUCCGUGUCGGAGGUGGUGUUGAAGAUGGAGCCGCGCGCCUCCAGCUUGCUCCGCAGCGCCUGGUAG
rnacentral:rRNA from 1 species